rnacentral:tRNA from 1 species
GGGGUCAUAGCUCAGUUGGUAGAGUGUUUGAAUGGCAUUCAAAAGGUCGGGGUUCGACUCCCCCUGGCUCCACCA